AUUGAACGCUGGCGGCAUGCCUAACACAUGCAAGUCGAACGGGGCAGCAAUGCCUAGUGGCGGACGGGUGAGGAAUACGUAGGAAUCUGCCCUUAAGUGGGGGACAACCAGGGGAAACCCUGACUAAUACCGCAUGAUCUCUCCGGAGCAAAGAGGGGGACCGCAAGGCCUCUCGCUUCUGGAUGAGCCUACGUCUGAUUAGCUAGUUGGUAGGGUAAAGGCCUACCAAGGCGACGAUCAGUAACUGGUCUGAGAGGAUGAUCAGUCACACCGGAACUGAGACACGGUCGGGACUCCUACGGGAGGCAGCAGUGGGGAAUAUUGGACAAUGGGCGCAAGCCUGAUCCAGCAAUGCCGCGUGUGUGAAGAAGGCCUUCGGGUUGUAAGCACUUUAGCCUGGAAAGAAAAAACUUUGGUUAACACCCAAAGUCUUGACGGUACCAGGAGUAUAAGCACCGGCUAACUCUGUGCCAGCCGCCGCAGUAACAC
rnacentral:rRNA from 1 species